CUUGGUCAUUUAGAGGAAGUAAAAGUCGUAACAAGGUCUCCGUAGGUGAACCUGCGGAGGGAUCAUUACAGAGUUCAUGCCCUUACGGGUAGAUCUCCCACCCUAUGUUAUUAUUACCUUUGUUGCUUUGGCGGGCCGUCAGGCCUCGGUCAGGCUAUCGGCUCCGGCUGGUAAGCGCCCGCCAGAGGACCCAAAAACUCUGAAUGUUAAUGUCGUCUGAGUACUAUAUAAUAGUUAAAACUUUCAACAACGGAUCUCUUGGUUCUGGCAUCGAUGAAGAACGCAGCGAAAUGCGAUAAGUAAUGUGAAUUGCAGAAUUCAGUGAAUCAUCGAAUCUUUGAACGCACAUUGCGCCCCUUGGUAUUCCGAGGGGCAUGCCUGUUCGAGCGUCAUUACAACCCUCAAGCAUUGCUUGGUAUUGGGCUCCGCUGCUCACCCAGCGGGCCUUAAAAUCAGUGGCGGUGCCGUCGAGGCCCUGAGCGUAGUAAAUAUCCUCGCUAUAGGGACUCGGUGGACGCUGGCCAUUAACCCCCAACUUUCUAAGUUUGACCUCGGAUCAGGUAGGGAUACCCGCUGAACUUAAGCAUAUCAAUAAGCGGAGGAAAAGAAACCAACAGGGAUUGCCUCAGUAACGGCGAGUGAAGCGGCAACAGCUCAAAUUUGAAAUCUGGCUCUUUCAGGGUCCGAGUUGUAAUUUGUAGAAGAUGCUUUGGGUGUGGCUCCGGUCUAAGUUCCUUGGAACAGGACGUCAUAGAGGGUGAGAAUCCCGUAUGUGACUGGCUGCCUUCGCCUAUGUAAAGCUCUUUCGACGAGUCGAGUUGUUUGGGAAUGCAGCUCAAAAUGGGUGGUAAAUUUCAUCUAAAGCUAAAUAUUGGCCAGAGACCGAUAGCGCACAAGUAGAGUGAUCGAAAGAUGAAAAGCACUUUGGAAAGAGAGUUAAACAGUACGUGAAAUUGUUGAAAGGGAAGCGCUUGCAACCAGACUUGCACGCGGUUAAUCAUCUGGUGUUCUCACCGGUGCACUUGACCGUGUUCAGGCCAGCAUCGGUUCAGGUGGCGGGAUAAAGGCCUUGGGAAUGUAGCUUCUUUCGGGGAGUGUUAUAGCCCUCGGUGCAAUGCCGCCUACCUGGACCGAGGACCGCGCUUCGGCUAGGAUGCUGCCGUAAUGGUUGUAAGCGACCCGUCUUGAAACACGGACC
rnacentral:rRNA from 1 species